CAAUAAAAACAAAGACAUUUAAUAACACUAGGUUUAAAAACCCCAAAAUAAACAAAAACAAAUUUACAAAAUAUCAACAAAUCAAAUAUUUUUUUUCUUAAUUUUAAUACAAAUUUAAUAAGCUGUGAUUGAGUGCUUUUAUUGUGUGUUUUUGUAGUUUUUUUAUUAAUAUAAUUUUUUGUUAAAAAAAUAAAUAUUUAAAAUAAAAAACAAUUUAUUAAAAAAGGUGAUAACAAUUUGCCUAAAAACACAAUAACAAAAAAACCUAACAAAAGUUUAAAAAACAAAAAAAAAAGAGACGAAACCGAAGCUGAAGAUGAAAUAAUAUAUUUAAAGAGAAAUACAUACAAAAAAUAUUAAUCAACAACAAUAAAAACAACAAAUUGUGAAAAAAAGUUUUAACUUUUAAAAAUUUAUUUUCCCUACUUUUAUAAAUGACCUUAUUCUGCUGGAGUAUAAUGAGUUUAUAAAUUUUUCUUCUUUAUAUCUUAAGAAGAGGAAGACUUGUUUCUUUUCAUAAGCAGCAUAUUCAUGUUGGAGGCCAGUCGGUCUUCUCAUCAACCAUAUGGUUGAUGGUACUGGUAGUUGUGGUGCUGGUGGUCUUUGGUCUAAUUGAAAUGUCAUUUAAACAAAAUUCAUCUUGUACUUGUACCACUAAGAGUAGAAGUACAGUAGCAGACUUCGAUGAACUGUGCUUUCAACGUUUUGACCUUCCUAGAGAAAGUUACACAAUUUUUAUUUGCUGUUGGUUUUUUGUUACUUUUCUUUUUGUUCACUUUGUGGAAAAAAAGUUUUAAAUCAUUUCAAGACAAAUAAAAACAAGUUGAAAGUACUUUAUACGGUUUAAGCGUACCAAAACUGAGAAAAAGUAUUAAACUGUUGUAUAUUAUUUACACGAGUAUUAUUUUAUUUAAACUUGUGAUUUCCCUGCUAGAAAUACAGUAAAGGGCAAAAUUGUUUAAAUUAUGAUUUAAAUUAGAUAUUGAUAAUUUAGUAAUAGAAUACUUUUUUUCAGUACUUUUUAGCAAUGGACUUUGGAAUGGGUUAGUGAAUAAACUACUCAAUAUCCGAGUGAAAAGACUAGUUCAAUAGACUUACCCAUAGAUAAUAGACUAAUCCAUAGAUAAACCAAUAAACUAGUCCAUAGUCCAGUCAGUAGAGUGAUCCAUAGACUAGUCAUAAAAACCUGCCCAUAGACCAGUACACCAGUUCUAGAAUAUUCAGAAGACUGGCCCAUAGACUAGUCAAUAUCUGGUCAAUAGAAUUGUCAAUAGAGUGGUCCAUAGACUAGUCAGUACACUUGUCUGUAGACUGGUCUAUAGUCAAUAGACCGUUUAAUAGAUAAUAAUAAACUGGCCCAUAGACUAAAGAUUGGUCAAUUGAGUAAUCAAUAGACUGAUCCAAAUACUAGUCAGUAAACAUGUCCAUAGACUAGUCAGUAUAAUAGUUCAUAGACUAGGCAAUAGACUGGAUCAUAGACUAGUCAGUAGAGCAGUUCAUAAACUAU